UACGUAGGGUGCAAGCGUUGUCCGGAUUUAUUGGGCGUAAAGAGCGUGUAGGCGGCCCGGUAAGUCCGCUGUGAAAGUCGGGGGCUCAACCCUCGAAUGCCGGUGGAUACUGUCGGGCUAGAGUGCGGAAGAGGCGAGUGGAAUUCCUGGUGUAGCGGUGAAAUGCGCAGAUAUCAGGAGGAACACCGAUUGCGAAGGCAGCUCGCUGGGACGUCACUGACGCUGAGACGCGAAAGCGUGGGGAGCAAACAGG
rnacentral:rRNA from 1 species